CAGUCGCCGCGGUAAUACGGAGGGAGCUAGCGUUGUUCGGAAUUACUGGGCGUAAAGCGCACGUAGGCGGCUUUGUAAGUUAGAGGUGAAAGCCUGGAGCUCAACUCCAGAAUUGCCUUUAAGACUGCAUCGCUUGAAUCCGGGAGAGGUGAGUGGAAUUCCGAGUGUAGAGGUGAAAUUCGUAGAUAUUCGGAAGAACACCAGUGGCGAAGGCGGCUCACUGGACCGGCAUUGACGCUGAGGUGCGAAAGCGUGGGGAGCAAACAGGAUUAGAUACCCGUGUAGUCCCUGUCUCUUAUAC
rnacentral:rRNA from 1 species